rnacentral:rRNA from 1 species
ACGCGAAGAACCUUACCAGGUCUUGACAUCCUCUGACACUCCUAGAGAUAGGACGUUCCCCUUCGGGGGACAGAGUGACAGGUGGUGCAUGGUUGUCGUCAGCUCGUGUCGUGAGAUGUUGGGUUAAGUCCCGCAACGAGCGCAACCCUUGAUCUUAGUUGCCAGCAUUUAGUUGGGCACUCUAAGGUGACUGCCGGUGACAAACCGGAGGAAGGUGGGGAUGACGUCAAAUCACCAUGCCCCUUAUGACCUGGGCUACACACGUGCUCCAAUGGAUGGUACAAAGGGCAGCAAAACCGCGAGGUCGAGCAAAUCCCAUAAAACCAUUCUCAGUUCGGAUUGUAGGCUGCAACUCGCCUACAUGAAGCUGGAAUCGCUAGUAAUCGCGGAUCAGCAUGCCGCGGUGAAUACGUUCCCGGGCCUUGUACACACCGCCCGU